UUCGACUUAGAAGGUCCCAAACAGAGGAAAGAUUGAACAAUUCCCUUCUUUUCUUUCGAAAUUCCCCAUCCAAACAGCGCGUAUAUGACGGAUAGACCUCCCUCUGGGGGAAAAAAAAAAGGAAAAAAAAAAAAGAACAGUUCAGUACUAUCUAGAGUGCGGAAGCAGCACGACGUCGUGGAGCAAUUAGCAACAGCGAAACUGGAGCCGAAGUUGUAAGUUUUGUGGGCGGAGGAGAGCAUAGUGCAGGACGGACGACACCCAAAUUGGCCGCGAACCGAACAGAGAGAGGGAGAGGGACACAAUGAGAUUCAAUUUCAACUUCAUAGGGCUAGACGAUUCCGGUGACGGCCUUGAAUCCCUAUCUUCUCCGUCUACUUCAACCCCAAAAGAAGAUGUUGAAUGGCUUCCGCUCCAACACCACCCUAUUUUCACUUCCGCUGCCGAUGGCGCUCUUCCUCCCUCCUCCUCAGCCUCCUCUAAAACGCUCACGAAUCUCUUGGCAUGGGAUGGAGCCUCGCGCCUCUACUUUUGGGACUCACAAAAACAGUGUCUCCACCGGAUUUCUGUUCAGCUUGGCGAGCCUGAUCCUAGUUCUAUACUCGCCGCUUCUCCUUCUAAGGUAUUACAAGCAGAUGUGCAGCUUAAUUACGAGGUCCAGAAAAUUUCCAUCAAUAGGCAUGGAUCUGCGAUGCUCCUAUCAGGUUCAGAUCGACUGUGCGUAAUGUAUCUAUAUGGAAAGACUUCAGUCAAGGACAAUAUUGUUAUCUGCCGGACUGUAACAAUAGGGGCAGAAAUAUACUUUCACAGAAGGAGUAUAAUCCGCAUGUUGCAAGUUUAUUGGCACCCUUCCAGUGAUACACAUCUGGGAAUCCUUUCUUCUGAUUCAGUAUUUAGAAUUUUUAAUUUGUCUAUGUCUCUUCAGCAACCAGAACAGGAAUACUAUUUGCAGCCUGUGAAGUUUGGCAGUUCAACUAGAGCUUCGUCAAUCUGCCCUGUUGAUUUCUCCUUUGGUGGCAAUCAUUUAUGGGACAGAUUUAGUGUUUUCAUUUUAUUCAGCGAUGGAUCAGUUUAUGUUCUUUGCCCCAUUAUACCAUUUGGAAGUGUUUACAAGUGGGAGGCGUUGCAGGAAAUUUAUGUUGAUGCCAAAACAUUUGGGUUAAAUUCUACCAACUCAAAAGCUGUUAGUAAUAUCAAUAUGGCAAUCUCUUGGUUGGAAGCAAUAUUUCCUGAAUUAAGUCAGCAAUCUGCUGAAGGUGGGGAUUCGUUUGCUCUUAAAGCUCGGCCUUAUGCUUUUAUUGACUCGUCCAUAGUAUUGCAGGGGCCUCUACGUAAUUUUUGUCAUGGUGAAAAGAAAGAUACUCAAGUUCAGGAUGCGGAAGGUCAAGGGCGUGCAGUUAGUUUUCUUUAUAACUUAGUUAGCAAAGAUUCGGUUUUGGUAAUUGCUUGGAGUGGUGGACAACUACAAAUAGAUGCCUUCGCUGAUGAGAUCCAGCCAGUCUGGAAAGCUGGUAGUCCUCCUCGUCUUUUUGUUGAUUCAUGUGACCGCAUACUUGGUAUUGCUAUGAUUUGUGAGUCAGUUUCAAGUGAUCUCUCCUUUCUGGAGCCUGAUCCAACCCUUGAUCGUGAUGUUUGGUUGGGGCAUCCACCUCCUUUGUUGAGAUUGGCUAUUGUUGACUUAGCUUUACCAGGUAAAGGUGGUUCACAUAUUUCAAUGUCUGUUGAUCCUCUUAUGCCUGAAAGAACAUAUUGCUUUCAUAAUGGAGGCAUAGAUUCUGUUGUCUUGCACUUUCUGCCUUUCUCAAGUGAGUCAGAUGGCAAGGAUGGGGCAAGGAGAAGUCCAUCUGUAAAUCCUGUGAUCAGUGCCUGCCACGGAGAAUCUUCCUCAACACCUUCACUCUGUGGUUUCUUGGCUUUAGCAGAUUCAUUUGGAGAUUCAUGGAUUGUAGGAGUUACAUAUUCUCGAGAAUGUAUUGUGUUAGAGAUGGAGACUUGGAAUUUGUUGCUUCCCCCAAUUGUUGAUGAGGAGAAAAACCCUGCUCUUGAGGAAGAAAAACAAUAUACCAAUAGUACAACUAUUAUUAGCAAGGAACUCCUUAGUGGCCCUAAAGUGGUUCUUCUGCCACCAUCAUCACCAAAUCUACGUUCUGUAACUGCAGACUCAAUUGAAGGGCGAUCUACUCUUCAUCAAUACUUCAAACUCUUUCAUGAAAAUUACAUGGAAUAUGCUUACAAGGUGUACUUUGAACUCCAGCACCAUGCACCUCAGCUGAAGAAGAUCAUUGACAACCAGCAUUCUCGUUUACAGAAAGCAGAACGAAAGCUUUUAGAAGUUGAAGAGAAGCAGGAAAAGUUAGAGAGUCGCAUUACCAAUGCAGUUCAGCAUUGCAAUGUCCUAGAAGAGCGCCUACUCAAAUUGAGAAACCUGCCUGGGAUACACAAAAAACCGCUUUCCAAAGCAGAGCGAGAUUUUAAAGCAGAACUAGACAGAUAUAAUGGCGUGGAAUUAGAUGCAUUGCGGUCAUCCAUUGAAGCUUUGGAUGCAAGGUUGAAAAGAUUUGAAAAUUCUCAACAGGCCAACCAACAUACUCAAGUAUCAGGGAAGAGGAUGAAUUAUAUGCCAGCAGAGGAAGUAUCCAAGCUCAGAUCCUCGAUUGAAAAGCUUUCACUUGUCAAUAAUGAGAAUACUAAGAUGGUUAAACUCAUAGAGCCUGCUCUGAGAAACCUUGAAAUCAACAGCACUCAAUGAGGCAUUUGCAGUUCAAUUUAGCAUCGUUUUGCUGGCUCAUUGGUGGUCAAAUUGGACAAGUUCAAGCUUGCAAUCUACUCAGGAGAUGCUGUUUACUGGGUAGCUAGAACCAUCUUUUUGCUACUGCUACCCUUGCUUCUGUAAGUGUCAGAUAUGCAAAUUCUUUGAUGGUUGCAUGCUGGUCCCACCUGUUGCUCUUGCUGUUUACAACUCAAGCUGAAGCUUCGCAGGCGCGCAAAUAAUUUUGUGACUAGUUGUUCUUUAACAACUGAAAUUUGUAUGUGACAUGACUCAUAAGGAUCUUACAAUCCUACGAUUCUACAAUUCGAUCCUGUGAACCUCAAAAUGAUCCUAGGUGAGAUCCUGAUUUUGAAAACUUUGCUUUCAGAAGUUGUAUGAAAGUGGUUUCCUAUUUCUGCGCCAGUUUUAGGCAGAUGAGCAAUUUUUGGUCUACGUUAUUGUAGUCAAAUAUGUCCGCACGUUUUUACGAGUGUUCUACAGCUGCCAUGAGAAAGUUUGUGUUGCUGGACUCCUCCAAGGAUACAGAUGGUCUUUCAGUUUUCUUUAUGCCUUAUUAAGAUGCAAAAACCAGAAUGUCUCUCUGCCACAACCAUUGAACAUCAAUCUGCUAGAGAUGUUCCGCUUUGAAACUUCAGGAAUGUUGAGCUUUCAGUUAAUGUCCUUUCCUGGGUGUAUUUGUUUCAUCGGUAAUGAAGUUGUGCCUCAGCUACUUCCCUCGUACCUCUUAAGAGUGAAAUAAACAUUCGAGGAGCAAUGAUCAGAGCACGACCACUGAGUAAAAAGUUGCACAUCUUAUGGUACUAUUGAAAUAAACUCUAAAGAAUUCUGUAAUUUGACGCACUUACUGAAUGGUCCCUUUCUUUU